rnacentral:rRNA from 1 species
GACGAACGCUGGCGGCGUACUUAACACAUGCAAGUCGAACGAAGUGGCGAACGGGUGAGUAACGCGUAAUCAACCUGCCCUUCGGAGGGGGACAACAGUUGGAAACGACUGCUAAUACAGCAUACUGAAGGAGGGGAUUGAGUCGGAUUAGCUAGUUGGAGGGGUAACGGCCCACCAAGGCGAAGAUCAGUAGCCGGUCUGAGAGGAUGAACGGCCACAUUGGGACUGAGACACGGCCCAGACUCCCACGGGAGGCAGCCGUGGGGAAUCUUCCGCAAUGGACGAAAGUCUGACGGAGCCACGCCGCGUGAGUGAUGACGGCCUUCGGGUUGUAAAGCUCUGUUAAUCGGGACGCGGUACCGGAAUAGAAAGCCACGGCUAACUACGUGCCAGCAGCCGCGGUAAUAC